AACUAGGAUUAGAUACCCUAUUAUUUUAAAUGUAAAUAUAUACUAGAUUAGUAAUAGUUAUGUUCUUGAAAAUUAAAGAUUUUGGCGGUUUUUUAGUCUGUUCAGAGGAACCUGUCCUGUAAUUGAUAAUCCACGAGUUUUUUGACUUUUUUUAUAGUUUAUAUAUCGUCGUAGGUUGAAUAUUCUAAAAGGAUUGUUAAUUUUCAAGAUUUAUUUUUUAAAAAAUAUCAGAUCAAGGUAUAGCUUAUAGGAAAGAAGAGAUGGGUUACAUUAAUUUUAAUUUUGGAUUAUUAAUUUAUAGUUAAUAUGAAUUUGGAUUUGAGUGUAAUUUUAUUAAAUUAAUAAAAUGAUUAAUUAGCUCUAAAAUAUGUACAUAUCG
rnacentral:rRNA from 1 species